rnacentral:rRNA from 1 species
UACAGAGGGUGCGAGCGUUGUUCGGAAUUACUGGGCGUAAAGCGCGCGUAGGCGGCUUUGCAAGUCGGGUGUGAAAUCCCCAGGCUUAACCUGGGAACUGCAUUCGAGACUGCAUUGCUAGAGUAUGGGAGAGGGAAGUGGAAUUUCCGGUGUAGCGGUGAAAUGCGUAGAUAUUGGGAGGAACACCAGUGGCGAAGGCGGUCCCCUGGGCCGGAACUGACGCUGAGGCGCGAAAGCGUGGGUAGCAAACAGG